AACGAACGCUGGCGGCGUGGAUAAGACAUGCAAGUCGAACGAGAGAAUUGCUAGCUUGCUAAUAAUUCUCUAGUGGCGCACGGGUGAGUAACACGUGAGUAACCUGCCCCCGAGAGCGGGAUAGCCCUGGGAAACUGGGAUUAAUACCGCAUAGUAUCGAAAGAUUAAAGCAGCAAUGCGCUUGGGGAUGGGCUCGCGGCCUAUUAGUUAGUUGGUGAGGUAACGGCUCACCAAGGCGAUGACGGGUAGCCGGUCUGAGAGGAUGUCCGGCCACACUGGAACUGAGACACGGUCCAGACACCUACGGGUGGCAGCAGUCGAGAAUCAUUCACAAUGGGGGAAACCCUGAUGGUGCGACGCCGCGUGGGGGAAUGAAGGUCUUCGGAUUGUAAACCCCUGUCAUGUGGGAGCAAAUUAAAAAGAUAGUACCACAAGAGGAAGAGACGGCUAACUCUGUGCCAGCAGCCGCGGUAAUACAGAGGUCUCAAGCGUUGUUCGGAAUCACUGGGCGUAAAGCGUGCGUAGGCUGUUUCGUAAGUCGUGUGAGAAAGGCGCGGGCUCACCCCGCGGGACGGCACAUUGAUACUGCGAAACUAAAGUAAGGGAGGGGGAACCGGAAUUCUCGGUGUAACAGUGAAAUGGCUUAAAUUACGAGAGGAACACUCCGGGGCGAAGGGGGGGGUUCCUGAAACAUUAACUGACGCUGAGGCACGAAGGCCAGGGGAGCGAAAGGGAUUAGAUACCCCCGUAGUCCUGGCAGUAAACGGUGCACGCUUGGUGUGCGGGGAAUCGACCCCCUGCGUGCCGGAGCUAACGCGUUAAGCGUGCCGCCUGGGGAGUACGGUCGCAAGAUUAAAACUCAAAGAAAUUGACGGGGACCCGCACAAGCGGUGGAGUAUGUGGCUUAAUUCGAUGCAACGCGAAGAACCUUACCUGGGCUUGACAUGUAAUGAACAACAUGUGAAAGCAUGCGACUCUUCGGAGGCGUUACACAGGUGCUGCAUGGCCGUCGUCAGCUCGUGUCGUGAGAUGUUUGGUUAAGUCCAGCAACGAGCGCAACCCCUGUUGCCAGUUACCAGCACGUGAAGGUGGGGACUCUGGCGAGACUGCCCAGAUCAACUGGGAGGAAGGUGGGGACGACGUCAGGUCAGUAUGGCCCUUAUGCCCAGGGCUGCACACGUACUACAAUGCCCAGUACAGAGGGGGCCGAAGCCGCGAGGCGGAGGAAAUCCUGAAAACUGGGCCCAGUUCGGACUGUAGGCUGCAACCCGCCUACACGAAGCCGGAAUUGCUAGUAAUGGCGCAUCAGCUACGGCGCCGUGAAUACGUUCCCGGGUCUUGCACA
rnacentral:rRNA from 1 species